CUGGAAUUCGGCUUAGAGUUUGAUCCUGGCUCAGAACGAACGCUGGCGGCGUGCCUAACACAUGCAAGUCGAACGAGAAAGUUCCCUUCGGGGGAUGAGUAAAGUGGCAGACGGGUGAGUAACACGUGGGUAACCUGCCCGGAGGUGGGGGAUAACCCUUCGAAAGGAGGGCUAAUACCGCAUGACAUCCCGAGCUUUUUGGAGUUCGGGAUCAAAGCCAGCCUCUGCUUGCAAGCUGGCGCCACCGGAGGGGCCCGCGCCCCAUUAGCUUGUUGGUGAGGUAACGGCUCACCAAGGCCGCGAUGGGUAGCCGGCCUGAGAGGGUGAUCGGCCACACUGGAACUGAGACACGGUCCAGACUCCUACGGGAGGCAGCAGUGAGGAAUUUUGCGCAAUGGGCGAAAGCCUGACGCAGCGACGCCGCGUGGAGGACAAAGGUCUUCGGAUCGUAAACUCCUGUCAAGCGGGACGAAUCCUGCGGAAAUGAAUAAGCUCCGCAGUUGACGGUACCGCUGGAGGAAGCCCCGGCUAAUCCGUGCCAGCA
rnacentral:rRNA from 1 species